GCUUUAGUGGUGUAAUGGUAGCACGCUCGACGCGUAUUCGAGAGAUCUAAGUUCGAGUCCUGCGAGAGCA
rnacentral:tRNA from 1 species